rnacentral:rRNA from 1 species
ACAAAAACAUCGCCUCCUGCAAAACCCAAUAUAUAGGAGGUCUUGCCUGCCCAGUGACUAGUUAAACGGCCGCGGUAUUUUGACCGUGCGAAGGUAGCGCAAUCACUUGUCUUUUAAAUGAAGACCUGUAUGAAUGGUGGAACGAGGGCUUAACUGUCUCCCCCUUCAAGUCAAUGAAAUUGAUCUGCCCGUGCAGAAGCGGACAUACAAGUACAAGACGAGAAGACCCUUUGGAGCUUAAGAUACAAGAUCAACUAUGUCAAGAAUCUAAAAAUUAAACUAAAUAGUAACUGAUCCCUAUCUUCGGUUGGGGCGACCGCGGGAGAAAACAAAGCUCCCACGCGGACUGGGGCCACACCCUAAAACCAAGAAAGACAUUUCCAAGUCACAGAAUAUCUGACCAUUAAGAUCCGGCCACACGCCGAUCAACGGACCAAGUUACCCCAGGGAUAACAGCGCAAUCCUCUUCCAGAGUCCAUAUCGACAAGAGGGUUUACGACCUCGAUGUUGGAUCAGGACAUCCUAAUGGUGCAGCCGCUAUUAAGGGUUCGUUUGUUCAACGAUUAAAGUCCUACAUGAUCUGAUU